UUUUAAAAUAAAAUGAGUUUCAGAAAAAAAACGACUACAGACUUUUAAACAAACAAACAACAAGACUUUUAUGUGGGCAAAUGUGUGGAAAAGUGCUGGUGGUCUCCUCAGCUUGACUGAACAGCAGUGAGUUUAGCAGGCCUAGCACUGAAGCUAACCUGAGGAAACAGACCAAUUCAUAAUAAGGUUAACUUUACCUGUGUAACUAGAGAGGCUUCAGUCUGCUGAAAAAGUCUGGACAAAUCCACAGAAAUAGUUAUAAAUAUCUUCUGAAGUCAGAGUAAGAUUCCUGCAUUUCUGACACAAAAUGAAAGGCUUUGGGGAUAAAUGGACUGACAGAGGAUGAUAAUAGGGCCGUGGGCUGAUUUUGUUCACAGAUCGUGGAGGGUGCUUAUUGUGGGAGAAUUUGAAUACCAGUGCUGCUCCUUUGGUAUUAUUUUUCCCUGUCUUUUUAUAACCUCCAUAUGGUCUCAUGAAAUGCCUGCCAGCUUUCUUGUAACACUUUGUAAUAUCUUAGUAACAUUUCAUGUGUUUCCCAAAGAUUAGUGAGGGUGAGAUGAUGCUGAGAAGAUUGAAAAUUUAAAGAAAUGUAAUGAACUUUAAGCUUUAAGUGAUCUACACUCUACCAGGACUACUAAAAUAUUACAGCUUCUAAUUAGGAUAACUUAGGGAUUAUCUGGCUUUAAGUACUGUAGCGCUGUCGUUAGACUCUUAAAAUUCCUAAAUUCUGAAGGAUUUGUUCAUGUUAAAUCUACUUUUGCGCUCGUCUCUAAUUAUUAUCAUUCCAAUCCUCUGUGUUAAAAGAUAUUGACAUUUGGCGCUCUGCAGAUUGGCCUGGCUUUGAUCCUGUCAUUGGUUAGGCUUUGGAUUAACUGUAUGCUGCUGUAGUUAUUGAAUUUGUGGGACAAAUGGUGCAUGCAAGUUUACUUCUGCUUCUGACCACUGUAUCUUCUACAUGUCUACACAGCAACCAACAAAAACAUUAUUAUCACUCAUAGAUAAGGAUUAAAUUAUUGAUCUUACGACAACAAUGCAUGUCAGGGCUUGUGGUAUUUGUUAUAUGGUAAUUGAGCAGUUGGUUAAUAGUCAGAUUAUUGGAAGUGGAAUGUAUGUAUAGGUAUAAAGACCUGAGGCAAAUCAAGUGCCAAAUCAUUACUGGGGGUGGGGGGCUUCUGGCUAGUGUCUACUUACAGUGAAUGGCUUGGCAAAUCACAAACCAUGUGAAGGACCAGCAGCAUUUUAGACACAUUAGGACACCCCACCCUUAACCUUUUUUUUAUUGAGAAGAAGGAGACACAGUCUUUGCAAAUAAGAAAAUAUAUGAUAAAUAUUGGCAUAUUCUAGACUAUUUUGUGCAAGAUAAUAAAACAAGAUAAUAUUGUAAUAUCA
rnacentral:lncRNA from 1 species